rnacentral:rRNA from 1 species
AUCAGGGGUAAACCUGUGGAACUCGAACGAGCGAACGGGGAGAUUCAUCGUUCUCCGCGGGUCCGCGGGRCGCGCUGUACGCGUGCGGUGCUCGUCCUGUGACUCGCGGAGUGCGUGCACUCCUCCCUCAGUAAAACACCGCGACCCGUUGCUGGGUCGAACGCGCCGUGCGGUCGUCCCGCUCCGCGGAGAGGAACCGCGGUGUCGCGGCUCAAAUGCGACGGUAAAGAACGAGGUUUGCGUCCGCCGGCGUCCGCGGUGCGGCGGUGGCUGUCCUCGCUCUGUCGGCGCGCGUCGGCAGUCGAGGAGAGUCGCGUCUGCUGUGCCGGCUCGGACGGGACGCGUCCCGGUCUGCGGUGGUUUGUUUCGGGCACUCACAGGACCCGUCUUGA